GACGAACGCUGGCGGCGUGCUUAACACAUGCAAGUCGAACGGAAAGGCCCUGCUUUUGUGGGGUGCUCGAGUGGCGAACGGGUGAGUAACACGUGAGUAACCUGCCCUUGACUUUGGGAUAACUUCAGGAAACUGGGGCUAAUACCGGAUAGGAGCUCCUGCUGCAUGGUGGGGGUUGGAAAGUCUCGGCGGUUGGGGAUGGACUCGCGGCUUAUCAGCUUGUUGGUGGGGUAGUGGCUUACCAAGGCUUUGACGGGUAGCCGGCCUGAGAGGGUGACCGGCCACAUUGGGACUACGAUACGGACCAGUCUCCUACGGGAGGCAGCAGGGGGGAAUAUUGCACAAUGGGCGGAAGCCUGAUGCGGCAACGCCGCGUGCGGGAUGACGGCCUUCGGGGUGUGAACCGCUUUCGCCUGUGACGAAGCGUUAGUGACGGUAAUGGGUAAAGAAGCACCGGCUAACUACGUG
rnacentral:rRNA from 1 species